AUAAUUACUAGUGCUAUCAGUAACUGUAUUUAUCUCAGCAGCAGAAGUUGUAUCUGAUAUAACAGCAAUGUUAUUGUGAUAAAGCUGACCAGUGAGGAAAUAAAAAAGAAAGCAUGUUGAAAUUUAAAAAACCCCCAACCCUGAAGUUUACUUAGGUUUUGCUUAUACCAAAGGAAACAUCUAUAAGUAAUAUUUGUGUUACUCAGUUUAUGUUGUGGUUUAUGGAAGUGGGAGAACAGAAUUAGGCUUUCUGAUUUAUUAAAAUUUGAAUGGAAGCUAACAAACACAUUUUAAUCUUGUCCAUGUUUCAGCUAGGGAGGGAAGUGGGGUUGAGUAAGCGGCUGCAUGGUGUUUCAUCUCCAGGUGGGCUCGAAACCAUGACAUGGGAUGCAGAAUCUUAACUUUAGGAAUUCAAGUUACACUCAGCUACUGCACUUUAUCUCAGUGCUAUCAAAGAACUGUGUUUCUGGCUUAUAAAAUGUCCUGUUUGAGGUUUGUCUUUGAAGUGAACUGCAAAUGCAUAUUAAGGAAAAAAUAAAAGUCUUGUACAAUAAAAAUUGUGAUUAAAGUCCCUUAAAGUCAAAGUGUCUUUCCACUGGCAUAGCAGACUCCACAGAAAUUUCUAAAACCAGCUAACGAAUUUCUUACUUCAACUAUUUUUAUACUAUACCUAUACCAUGUUAUUUUUCAGAACUGGAAAAUCCACUCUUACUGGAUAUCUGUGGGAGAACAGACAGAGACAGUGCUGAAGGCACUCUUGCCUCUGCUUUAUUGCAGCUGUGUUAAUUACCAGAGUGGGAACAGCCUUGCCCUCACAGCUAUGGGUGAUAAAAGAGUGAGUUAGGGGGUGGAGUGGUCACUCAGUUGGAGCCUGCUGGCUGUGCUGUGAAGGGACAGGAGAUCGUGUGAGGGGCAGAAAGGGUAAGACAUCGUACAAGGGACCGACAGGGUUAGGUGGCCAUGCUCGGGACAGGAAUCAGUGAGCUGCCAAUGCAGAAGGAAGGUAGAAGGAGAGAAAGAGCCAGAGCUGUGUGGAGCGACUUAUGGGACUGCAACAUAGAAAAGCUGUGAAAGACCUUUUAGAUAACGUGGGACUGAUACUUGGAGCCCUCUGGAGUUUUUAACGGAGCACUCUUGAGUGCUGUGGCCAUCUUGAUGAUGAUUACAACAGAUAUCUCUCUCUGAUAGAUUUUAGAAAGGUGGGGAAAAGGCUAGAAUGAGACAGUGGCACAAGGAGGAAGAGGACAUGCUGAAAUAAAAACAAUUACUUCUGUAAAGAGUAAUUUACAGUACUGCUGAAUGAAAGUGGCAUCAAUGGACUAUCAAUCUGACCCAGAGAUGAAACAGCAGGCAAGCUGUCAAGACCUAUAAUUGGCAAGGUAUUGGAGUGAUGGUUUCAGAAUAAUUUUUUUCUUAUCUUGGAAAAAUGCAAAUAUAGGUGAUUCUAAUGAACAAAACAAAAACCUGAUGGUUAACUGUUACAGAGGUUACUAUAUAGUGUAUGCUCCAUAUAUUGUAUAUUUACAACUAAUUUAACUACUCAAAAGUCUAACAGAGAUUAGUACAUGGUCAGUAAUUCUACACCUCAUCAUUAGUAGUCAUCAUGAUUUUUAAUCCACUGUGAUCUAUGGUUGUAAAGAGUUCCCUCUGGAAGCACUAAACAGAGGAAGCCUUAGAAAGCAGUAUAUUUUGUGAAAUAGGAGCACAAUAUACUUUUAUGAUUAUUAUUCAUAGCCUUGCUCACCAUGUAAUUAUAAUCCCUAAAUUCACACUUCCUACAAAAUAAUCCACUGGGGGAAGUGGGGAGAGUGCUGGUGACCUUGUCCAGCAAACUUUAUGGGUUGAAAUUCCUGUAUUUGAUCUCUGCUUACUGUAUUAAUAUGAGCACUGCUUUGUAUGACAACCUGAAGUGCCACCCAAGUCCCAAGGGGGUCAAGGAGGAUUUUGACCUUUAUUUCACAGGAAAUGAAUCAGGCUUGUUUAUAUGGAAGAAAAACAACUGCAUAUUAUACAACUACAAUUCUAAACUUUAUAGUUGAAUUUGGUGCCAGUUCAGUACAAAAAACAGUCACAAGAAAAGCUGAGCAAAUUUCAGGUUUGUUUUCUUGGUGUUUUGUUUAUUCCCUGAUAAGGAAGAAACAAAAGCAGCAUUUUAUUCACUCAGAUUUCUGCAUAGUUCUUGGGACCAUUCUAUUACACAGAGAAGAACUCCAUGGCAGUUCAUCUAACCGGUUCUCAGAGUGGUUUAGAACUAUUAAUUCUUGUUAUGAAGAAAUCAAGGGCAAGGAGACCUGCUCCUUUUUAAUGCCUUUAUUAGAGAAAUCAGCUCUGGGUGGGGGCUUGAGGGGCCGUGCACGCCACUUGCCGCUCCCUUCGGCAACGCAGAGGAGGAGGUGCAGACAGCUUUGCUUCACAGCAAGGCUGGGGCUUCCAUCCUCAUGGGCAUACCUGGGAAAUCCAUUUGGGCUCAUUGUUCAGGGGUGUCCUGCCGAUCGGGAACGGUUCAGGUCACAGCGACCAAAUGAAGCUGCUUUGGUGGAUAGUCUUACCUCUGCACCAGUUCAGAGGUACUACUUUCAGUUCUGGGUUCUACUCUGGUUUUCUGCUUUAAGAGUCCUUUGUUCUUGAGUUGAUCCCAGAAUUCCACUAUCUACUUCAUUUGCAUAUCAGAUGCCAUUUUGAGGAGCAGCAGGGGUGGUACCUGACGAAUGGAACAAGGAUAUACAGGUGAGGAGUAAAUAGGUGAAAAACAAUUAACAGGGUGAACUUUUAAUUAACAAACAGGAGUGAAUAAGAUGACUAGGCAAUUAAUAAUCAAUAUUAAAACAGGAAUAGGGCAAACUCUUUAAACUCAGCAAACCAGAACAAACACCAACAAUCUUAAUGUGUGAUAUGUAAUAUAAAGUUAAUUUGUGUUUGGUCUUGUGAUAUGUAAUAUAAAGUUAAUUCACGUUCGGUCUGAAUUAAACUUUGUAAAAUAUAAAAUGUACUUGGGGUUUGAAAGUGGAAUGUGAGAGGGGGGCAGGAGGGUUGAGAAAGAGGGAGGGUCUCUGCCAGGAAGCCAUCAGAACACUCGUUCACUCAGUGAAUGGAAGAGAUGACCAGGUAAGACGUGUCGUCCUACCCCUCCCUGGAGAUGGACCUGCUAACGACACAGCGAUCAACACCAGAUGGGUAUCUUAUCUGCUCCAGCCGAGUUUUACAUCUCUAAACGCCACUCUGGAGUAAGCAAUCAAGACAUUGUUCUACCACGGGAACUUAUUCAACUGACCGGAGACAUGGACAUGAAUACCCGAUGAAGCAAGAAAGGGACACGAGUAACAGGUAGCUCUCCACUCUCAGCAAAAGACUGUAUAAAAGCCAGAAGUUCGGGACACACUUUGUGAACAGGGGAGAUUCGGAGCCAUCAGAGUCCGUUUCUGCGUUCACCCAGUGCUGAAACCUGAGGUUCGACACUGUUAAUUGUGGCUGUU